UAGCUCGACCAAGCCCUUCGCGUAGCAGGAACCGACGACCUCGAAUUUCUUGAGACUGUCAUGGCGGUGUCCUGGCAUCUGCCUCAGCUGUUCAGAGUCUCCAAGAGUCCAAGGAUGCCCCAUAUGACCCAGUGAUGAAACUAGUUACUUACAUGCAAGAUGAAAGUCUCGAGUGAAGGAGAGGCAUCGAGAAAAGAAACAAGAGAAAGAUAAUCAAAGUUUGGGGACCUGUUAAGAGAUAUAUGCAAGUGCUUGAGGCGAAGAUAUUUCCCUGGUACAGUUUGUGUACUGACAAUCUGCAUAAAGAUGUCUCGUAUUAUUUUAUUUUAAUGGAUGUCUACAGUUUUAUGUAAUUUUUUAAUAGAUGUCUACAAUUUUAUGUACAAUUGCUACUCUAUAAUUAUGUAAUGCUUCAGAGUUUA